GGCGCAGCUGAUCAUCCAUCCGCGUGCAGACGAAGGCCUUCGGGUUGUAAACUGCUUUUGUACGGAACGAAAAGCUCUGGGCUAAUACCUCGGGGUCAUGACGGUACCGUAAGAAUAAGCACCGGCUAACUACGUGCCAGCAGCCGCGGUAAUACGUAGGGUGCAAGCGUUAAUCGGAAUUACUGGGCGUAAAGCGUGCGCAGGCGGUCUUGUAAGACAGAGGUGAAAUCCCCGGGCUCAACCUGGGAACUGCCUUUGUGACUGCAUGGCUGGAGUGCGGCAGAGGGGGAUGGAAUUCCGCGUGUAGCAGUGAAAUGCGUAGAUAUGCGGAGGAACACCGAUGGCGAAGGCAAUCCCCUGGGCCUGCACUGACGCUCACGCACGAAAGCGUGGGGAGCAAACAGGAUUAGAUACCCUGGUAGUCCACGCCCUAAACGAUGUCAACUGGUUGUUGGGUCUUCACUGACUCAGUAACGAAGCUAACGCGUGAAGUUGACCGCCUGGGGAGUACGGCCGCAAGGUUGAAACUCAAAGGACUUGACGGGGACCCGCACAAGCGGUGGAUGAUGUGGUUUAAUUCGAUG
rnacentral:rRNA from 1 species